rnacentral:rRNA from 1 species
GAGUUUGAUCCUGGCUCAGGACGAACGCUGGCGGCAUGCCUAAUACAUGCAAGUCGAACGAGGUUUCCUUAAUGAUAGUUGGUGCUUGCAUUAAUUUGACUUAAGAUCUAACCGAGUGGCGAACUGGUGAGUAACACGUGGGGAACCUGCCCUUAAGUAGGGGAUAACAUUUGGAAACAAAUGCUAAUACCGUAUAACAACAUAAACCACAUGGUUUAUGUUUGAAAGAUGGCUCUGCUAUCGCUUUUGGAUGGACCCGCGGCGUAUUAGCUAGUUGGUGAGAUAAUGGCUCACCAAGGCGAUGAUACGUAGCCGACCUGAGAGGGUAAUCGGCCACAUUGGAACUGAGACACGGUCCAGACUCCUACGGGGGGCAGCAGUAGGGAAUCUUUCACAAUGGACGAAAGCCUGAUCCAGCCAUGCCGCAUGAGUGAAGAAGGCCUUUGGGUUGUAAAGCUCUUUUAGUGAGGAAGAUAAUGACGGUACUCACAGAAGAAGUC